CCUACGGGGGGCUGCAGUGGGGAAUAUUGGACAAUGGGCGAAAGCCUGAUCCAGCCAUGCCGCGUGUGUGAAGAAGGCCUUCGGGUUGUAAAGCACUUUCAGUGGGGAAGAAAGCCUUGGGGCUAAUACCCUCGAGGAAGGACAUCACCCACAGAAGAAGCACCGGCUAACUCCGUGCCAGCAGCCGCGGUAAUACGGAGGGUGCGAGCGUUAAUCGGAAUUACUGGGCGUAAAGCGCGCGUAGGCGGUCUGAUAAGCCGGUUGUGAAAGCCCCGGGCUCAACCUGGGAACGGCAUCCGGAGAGGUCAGGAGAGCAGGCAGGAGAGGAGGGAAGAAUGCUCGGUGGAGCGGUGAAAUGCGUGGCGAUCGGGGGGGAUACGAGUGGCGAAGGCGGCAUUCUGGCCGGAUACUGACGCUGAGGAGCGAAAGCGUGGGUAGCAAACCGGCCCAGAGAACCCUGGAGUG
rnacentral:rRNA from 1 species